AGCAUAGCAGGGGGAUCAUGGAAGAAGAGUGCCUAGGUACCCUCGAGCGAGCCUAACGAGAGUCUUGGAAGGAGAGUGUUGGAGUACCCCAGAGCGAGCAUACUGGGGAAACAUUUUUUUUUUUAAGAGUGAGCGUGAUGGGGUGCCCUGGAGUGAGCGUGACGUGACGGGGGGGAGGGGGUCUUUGUAACGAGCAUAAAGCUACUGAUAAACAGAGGGUAGGCCAGAGUGUCCCAGUGUUAUGUGUAUGUAGGGUAAAGCCACUGAUCAUAAUAAUACACAGGAGGUUAUGUUUCUCUGUCUGAUAAAGCUGUACAAGAAACAAACAAUGGGUUUCUUUGAGAGUUCAGUUUUGUUGUCUGUUUUAAUAUUGAUACGAUGAGCCUUGUUUGUGAAUGAGAUAUAAAGAAAUAAAAUAAUAAUAUAUAGCUUUAUCAGACAGGAAACUGAUACUUAUCCUACACACACACACACACACACACACACACACACACACACACACACUUAGUGGGACAGGAGAGAUGUUUUACACACACACACACACACACACACACACUUACUCCAUGUCUCGUGGCAGUGAUAGCAAGAUAAGAUCGAGACAGUAAUGUGUGUGAGUGACUUGUAAAACACUUCCUCUUCCUCCAAUUCUUCUUCCUCUUCCUCCAAUUCUUCUUCCUCUUCCUCCUAUUCUUCUUUUCUUCCUCCUCCGUUACAAUCAAGACAGGCGGUGAUAAUGAACACUAGUGGCCCUCCAGCAAAGUUAACUCAAGGGACCACUUACCUAGUUGGACAUAUGUUGCUUCUUUCCCCCCUCCCCCCAAUCCUCUCCCCAGUGUUGAGGCUGUGUUGCCGUGUGUUGGCUGGGGGUCAGAGUCCUUACCCACUGGCCUCCGUUAUUCGUGGGGUGUGGCCUACUUACCUGUGGCCCGUGUGUGUGUUGUAUGGCCUGUGUAUGAGGCGUGAGUGAGGGAGGGUGGGUGUGUGAGAGAGGGAAUUUUGUUACUUGUGUACACGUCAAAGCGAGAUGAGAAGUAAUUAUUAAGGCUUUUAUUUGUUUGUUUGUGUUUGAUAAGGAGAAAAUGAGAAGUUGAUUUUUUUUUUAUCCAGGAGAAUGGUGUAUAGAGGCGAGUUUAGUUGACUCCACGCCAGAAUUCUCGUUGAGGCCCAAUGCGUCGUCUUGAUUGUCUUGUUGCCGACGUUAACUCUGAACCAAUAACUUCAUUAAGCUACUGUAGUUAACCUCUGUGAUGUUUAGUAACGUCAUUGUAAAAAAAUAUAUAUAAACACAAGAUAUAAAAAAGAACUACAGACGAUAGAAAAAGUGACAAUAUCCAGCUGCUGCCAGGGAAAAAAUUCUCAGGUUUCUAUUAUUGUUUUUAAUUCUCGUCCUGCAGGUCAGGAUUUUACUAAACCCAACUUAAGAAGGCGAUCCUGUUAUAUCACUUUAAUUUGAAUUAUUAUCUGAUUAAAUAUAUAUACACACAUAUAAAAGAUGUCAGUAGUUUAUGAAUUGUGAGAAAAACAAGAGAUUGUGAGGAGAGAGGGACCCCGAAUACAGGAGUUUGUUUUGGUUGGUCAGGGCCAGGAUUACUUAAUAAUAACACGUGUUUUGAUUGAUUGAUUCCAGCCAAUGUAAUUUAGUUCUCGUGUUGUGCACUGUGAUUGAUUGUCAGUAAAGCAAUUAUAUAUAAGACUAAGAUCGGCUGUAAUCUGGAUUGGUUGAGAUUUAUUUUUGAUGCUGUGGUGAAAAUCUCGGCAGUUUUAGUUGACUGUGUGGAACUAUAUGGAGGCGCGGCUCUUUACUGCUCAUAACAAAAUUAUAUUAAACAUUCUAAUUCUUUACUGGUGGAUAAUUUAAAGUUGUUCACUCAUACUCUACAGCUGAGGCCGAAAGUCAGUUUAUAACAAGGCAGCUGAUUGGUUGGCUGACGGACACGGGAACGUCACAUUUCUUCAGUAUUUAAUCUAUCGUAUUUAUAUUAUGAUAUUUUACGGGAUAAUAAAUUCUCUAUGUUGGUCUCUGAUAUUUUUAUGCGCUUUGGGAAUGAAAAACUAACAUGUGAAACGCUCUGGUAAUAAAAAUAUAAAAUAAAAAAAAACUCCGCGACCUCCUCACCUCUUUUAGGCCGCCCCUCUGUGACGUCAUCGGGAAGUAGGAGCUAUGUCCCUGGACUUGGUUCAUCAUGUUCGUGUUUUUUUUUAUGAUAUUUUUAUUACCAGAGUGUUUCACAUGUUAGUUUUUCAUUCCCAAAGCGCAAAAAAAUAUCAGAGAUCAAUGGAGGAAAGUUGUUAUCCCUUAAAAUAUCAUAAUAUAAAUACGACAGAUUAAAUAGGAACGAUUGUAAUUAAAGUAGAGUCUUGGUGCAAAUUGGUGUCGGAGUUGACCCAGCAGAUGAGGUCACUGGCCAUCAACGUCUGGGUUAAGGUCAAUAGAAACUGACGACCAUUAUACUUUAAAUCUUUUAUGAGUUAGAUCUCGGGGUCAGUAACUAGUCAUACGUUAAUUAUUGCUUUACCUGGUGGUGAGGGACAGGUGUGGCCAUGAUAUUACUCCGUGACUGUACCUCCAGUGGGCGUGAUGUUAAUAUGUAUACAAUGGGGGCGUGAUUGUUAAUAUGUAUACAGUGGGCGUGAUGUUGAUAUGUAUAGUGGGCGUGAAUGUUAAUAUAUACACAGUGCUGCCAGUGAAUGUAAAAGAUAACGUGUGUAGUGUUGUCAGGGGGUAGUGUUGUCAUUGAGUAGUGUUGUCGGAGUGUGAGGAUUGGUAGUGUUGGCAAAGGGGUUUUUGUAAGACCAAGUAGUGUUGUCAGGGUAUGUGAGGG